rnacentral:misc_RNA from 1 species
AAAUUUCCCAAUAAGUGGUAUCGAAGCCAAAGGUUCAAAAGGAAUGAGUUUAGAGCCCAAUUCGUAGUAGUAUUGUGUAUAACAUUUGUAUACAGAUGUUACUGCUCACAUAUACAAAAAAAUUCAAAAGACGGCAAGCAAUUCAUCAAGCUUUAUGGUAGAAAAGUUCAAUGGGAAAAUAAGUUUCACUUUUUAGCAAAGAAGAGUUUUCUUAUCCAACAAGGUCUGGCAAAGGUGUUGAAGGGAAAGGAGAAAGGAAAGCCUGGAAGAACAUCUGAUAUACAUUGAG